rnacentral:rRNA from 1 species
CGUACACUCCUGCGGGAGGCAGCAGUGGGGAAUAUUGCACAAUGGGCGCAAGCCUGAUGCAGCCAUGCCGCGUGUAUGAAGAAGGCCUUCGGGUUGUAAAGUACUUUCAGCGGGGAGGAAGGCGAUAAGGUUAAUAACCUUGUCGAUUGACGUUACCCGCAGAAGAAGCACCGGCUAACUCCGUGCCAGCAGCCGCGGUAAUACGGAGGGUGCAAGCGUUAAUCGGAAUUACUGGGCGUAAAGCGCACGCAGGCGGUCUGUCAAGUCGGAUGUGAAAUCCCCGGGCUCAACCUGGGAACUGCAUUCGAAACUGGCAGGCUAGAGUCUUGUAGAGGGGGGUAGAAUUCCAGGUGUAGCGGUGAAAUGCGUAGAGAUCUGGAGGAAUACCGGUGGCGAAGGCGGCCCCCUGGACAAAGACUGACGCUCAGGUGCGAAAGCGUGGGGAGCAAACAGGAUUAGAAACCCUGGUAGUCCCAUG